CUUCGCCACUCUCUCUUCCGUGGAUGAUGGAAACUAAAAUAACUUAAGCCAACAGGUGUGUGUCGUGUCGGCGAGGACGCCAUGAUGCUUUAAAAUUCCACAACGGAGCCAACCUAAAUAUAUGCUGCUUUAUGGUUCCCCCUGCAACUUGAAACUGGAGCUCAGGAAAAAGAUGGAUGACUUGCCGCGCGCCUGCAGCCCUACUGCAUAAAGAUUUCUGUGACGACCGGGGCGCAUGGUGAUGCGGGGCUCGUUCUCCCAGGAAUGCAGACGGGCGUCAGACACAGCGUGCAGGGCCCUUCUGGAGAACUAGGAACAGACGUCUGUGGGAUGAUCCAGUCUGAAAGUGGCUAAUGCAGGCUUAGGAAGAAUGUUGUGAUGCUGCUGCUGCCUCCAUGAAGAUGCGCUGUUUAUUCAUAUACAGUAGAAAGUACUAGAAUGUG